rnacentral:rRNA from 1 species
UACGGAGGGUGCGAGCGUUGUCCGGAAUCAUUGGGCGUAAAGGGCGCGUAGGUGGCCCGGUCAGUUCGUGGUGAAAGCGCGGGGCUCAACCCUGCGUCGGCCAUGAAUACUGCCGCGGCUGGAGCACUGUAGAGGCAGGCGGAAUUCCGGGUGUAGCGGUGGAAUGCGUAGAGAUCCGGAAGAACACCGGUGGCGAAGGCGGCCUGCUGGGCAGUUGCUGACACUGAGGCGCGGACAGCGUGGGGGAGCAAACAGG